rnacentral:rRNA from 1 species
AUUGAACGCUGGCGGCAGGCUUAACACAUGCAAGUCGAGCGGAGUGAUGGUGCUUGCACUAUCACUUAGCGGCGGACGGGUGAGUAAUGCUUAGGAAUCUGCCUAUUAGUGGGGGACAACAUUUCGAAAGGAAUGCUAAUACCGCAUACGUCUUACGGGAGAAAGCAGGGGAUCUUCGGACCUUGCGCUAAUAGAUGAGCCUAAGUCGGAUUAGCUAGUUGGUGGGGUAAAGGCCUACCAAGGCGACGAUCUGUAGCGGGUCUGAGAGGAUGAUCCGCCACACUGGGACUGAGACACGGCCCAGACUCCUACGGGAGGCAGCAGUGGGGAAUAUUGGACAAUGGGCGCAAGCCUGAUCCAGCCAUGCCGCGUGUGUGAAGAAGGCCUUAUGGUUGUAAAGCACUUUAAGCGAGGAGGAGGCUACUCUAGUUAAUACCUAGGGAUAGUGGACGUUACUCGCAGAAUAAGCACCGGCUAACUCUGUGCCAGCAGCCGCGGUAAUACAGAGGGUGCAAGCGUUAAUCGGAUUUACUGGGCGUAAAGCGCGCGUAGGCGGCUAAUUAAGUCAAAUGUGAAAUCCCCGAGCUUAACUUGGGAAUUGCAUUCGAUACUGGUUAGCUAGAGUGUGGGAGAGGAUGGUAGAAUUCCAGGUGUAGCGGUGAAAUGCGUAGAGAUCUGGAGGAAUACCGAUGGCGAAGGCAGCCAUCUGGCCUAACACUGACGCUGAGGUGCGAAAGCAUGGGGAGCAAACAGGAUUAGAUACCCUGGUAGUCCAUGCCGUAAACGAUGUCUACUAGCCGUUGGGGCCUUUGAGGCUUUAGUGGCGCAGCUAACGCGAUAAGUAGACCGCCUGGGGAGUACGGUCGCAAGACUAAAACUCAAAUGAAUUGACGGGGGCCCGCACAAGCGGUGGAGCAUGUGGUUUAAUUCGAUGCAACGCGAAGAACCUUACCUGGCCUUGACAUAGUAAGAACUUUCCAGAGAUGGAUUGGUGCCUUCGGGAACUUACAUACAGGUGCUGCAUGGCUGUCGUCAGCUCGUGUCGUGAGAUGUUGGGUUAAGUCCCGCAACGAGCGCAACCCUUUUCCUUAUUUGCCAGCGAGUAAUGUCGGGAACUUUAAGGAUACUGCCAGUGACAAACUGGAGGAAGGCGGGGACGACGUCAAGUCAUCAUGGCCCUUACGGCCAGGGCUACACACGUGCUACAAUGGUCGGUACAAAGGGUUGCUACCUAGCGAUAGGAUGCUAAUCUCAAAAAGCCGAUCGUAGUCCGGAUUGGAGUCUGCAACUCGACUCCAUGAAGUCGGAAUCGCUAGUAAUCGCGGAUCAGAAUGCCGCGGUGAAUACGUUCCCGGGCCU